AUAUUUAUCUUAUGAUUCCUGUUGCCUAUUGCUGCUCUUUAAAUGAGGAGAUAAGAAAAAAAAUCAAUUCGUGGAAAGAUCGCCCGAAAAUUUGAAUUAUCAAAAAUGGCUCGAGGAGGACAUAGCGAUGACCCUCCAUUCAGUAGACUAUUUGUACUUUGUGGCAAGAAAACCGAGGAAGAUGAAUUGAAGCAGCUUUUUGGCGACUAUGGCACCCUCGAGGAUGUAUGGUUGGUCAAAGAUCGAGCCACUGGAAUUUUCAAAGGUGUGGCUUAUAUCAAGUUUUCCAAAGCGUCGGAAGCUGCAAGUGCAAUGGAGGCCCUCAAUGGAAAGUUUGUGGAUUCUGCUCCCAAAGGUCUCAAGGUCAUUCUUGCCAAUAAAAAAGAGGAGGGCUCCCGAGUUGACAAUAAAGAAGAAGAGAAGAUGCUCAGAUUGUUUUGUAUCAUACCUUCAGAAGACACAAAAGAAGAUGUUAAAGAACAUUUUGAGCAAUUUGGCAAAGUUCAGAGCGUGAUGAUCAAUGAGGACAAAGUGACAGGAAAGAGGAAGAACUUUGGAUAUGUCUCUUUCUUCAGAGCAUCCCAUGCAGCCAAGGCCCUGGAGGAGUGUGACAGAAAAUACAAACCUAAAUUUGCUGAACCACGAGGCAUGAAGCGUGUAAGAGAAAACUCAGGUUCUUACGAUGAUCGUAGCUGGGGUGGGAGGUCAGAUCGUAGUGGUGAUCGAUACUCAGAUAGAAGCUUCUAUGGCGAUAGGGAUCGUCAUGGUGACAGGCACAGAGAUGAGGAUCGUUAUAUGGACAGACGUAGAUUGGACAGAGGCUAUGGUACAAGUGGAGACAGAGGAUAUGGGGGUAGAGACAUGGGGUCAAGAGAUAUUGGAGGUUCUAGCCACCUCAUGGACUAUGGUGUAUCUGCUAAAGCAAUGCAGCCAGGUUUUGGCAUGGACCUGUACAGUGAUGUAGACCAUGAGAACUGCACCAAUAUUCAAAUUGUUGGCUCUGUGACGCUAUCCAAGGGUCAGAUCAUGUCUCUUUGUGACCUCAUACCUGGUCUUGUUAAUGUUGAGGGUGCUCCCAGUUCCAGCAGAAUGACGUCCAGUUAUUUUGUAAAGUACAGCACACCUCAGUGUGCAUCAUACGCCAAAGCCAAACUGCAUGGGUUUGAGUAUCCUAUUGGAGCGAAACUUGUGGUGACAUACUCAGAAGACCAAGCGGACCCUUCCAGUGUUCAGAGUAAUCUUGCCACCCUUGCUGAGUCUAUUGCAAAGGCUGGCAACCUCUUACAAAAGGCAGGAAUGGGGAACUCAAUAAGACCAGAUGCAGCACAGCAGUUAAAUCAGUUGGUGAGUAGCAUACAGAAUGUGACGCAAGGCGGCUCAAUGAUGGAUGGGAACCAAGCUAUGGAUAGGAUCAGCUAUACCAAUAUACCUCUACCCCCACCCAAGCCCAUGUUGAGUCUAGAUACCCCGGUAGCUCAGAAAACCUUUGUCGUGUUCAACCCAGAGCCUAUCCCAAUUCAUAUUAUGGAGGAUCUGUUUUGCCGUUUUGGAGAUAUGAUAGAAGCUUACAUUGUUCCAGGACGUAACUUUGGGUACGUAAAAUACGCUAGCAAACGUGCAGCUGAGGAGGCCAUGAGUGUUGUUCAUGGACAGGAAGUGUGCAACUCACGUCUAAAGGUUUUACCAGCAGAAGAAUCACGUCAAGAAAAAGCUAAACGCUUGAGACAAGAACAAAUUGGCGAUGGAGAUACUGAAAUGCGAGAAUCAUGGGAUUAGCAAGGUAUCCUUUGAAUGACACUUUUUGAGAUCUAUUUUCAUUUUGUGAUAAUAGAUAUUAAAAUUUGUACAUGAUCUCAGGGAAAUUAAAUACAGUAUUAUCAUUUUUCAUUAAGUCUUGUAAUUUGGUGUAUUACUAUUAUUAUUUGAAGAUGUUUCUUUGGUUCCACUCUAUAUCAAGGUAAGUAAAGUGUUGAAACCGAUUGAAAUUGAUUAAAAUUCAAAAUUGAAAAUUAAUUGAGAAAAGAGUCUAUUUAUACUCAUUAACAUUUGAACAUAUUUGCAUAUUUGAAUUUACAUUGUAGUGACGAGAAGAAAAGACAGAACACACAUAAACAGAUGACGGAUGACUCUCACAUGGACGACAUUACAGCUUAAGAAGACUUUAUUUGUACAAAGACAUCACACACAAAAUGGAAACAGCUUUUCUUAUAGACCAUCUAAAUACAAUACUAGCUUACAUACUUGGGGACAUACAUAUACAAUGUCAAUAUACCUACAGAUAUACAUAUACAAAGAAGACAGGACACCUUGCAGUUGACCUUCACAAAUUAAAAUUUGGAGACAUGUAUUAUACAAACUAAGAGGACCAAACUGAGAAGACUAUUUCAACAAACAUAUGAAGUGAAGACAGGAAGUUUUUUGUCAUUGACGAAAGAACCAUUGGGAGAUAACAAAUUUGAUUUGUGCGGCAUAUGAUGUACGGUUUUUGACAAUGUAUUUGACAAAUUUUGAAAUGUAUAUGACAGUAUGUAUGUGACAAAGUUUGUGUGAUAAUGGGUAUUUGACAACAUGUAAGUUAAAACAUGUAGGUGACGAAAAGUAGGUGACAGUAAGGGACAAAUGUGUGUGACAGCAUGCAAAAAACAGAAGCAAUAGAGUAAUACUAUGAUACAGGUCCUUAGCUCGGGGAGUUUCAAGUUUGGGAACCCACCGUUGGCCAAAUUUUUUUUUCACAAAUCAUGCAGUUUUUCAUCAU
rnacentral:misc_RNA from 1 species